rnacentral:lncRNA from 1 species
CAAAGCUCGACAUCACAGCCGCAACAAGGUACGUUAGCCGCUCUGAUCUCUUCCUGGCGAGCUUCUCCGCCACCCGGGCGGCGGAGAUCUGACUCGCCAGAGUCUCCUCGCUCCGAUUCUCCACCACCUCUGUGCUCAGCUUCUCCUCCUCCACCACGAAACAAACCGUCAGUCUUGUCUUCUUCCGACACCGGAAAAUGUUUUCGUGCCGCCGAAUGGAAGGGAUGAAGAGAGAAGUGGGGGUGAAGGGGGAGGUGGGUUUGGGGCCGAGAAAGGGGUUCCGGCCCAAGCGGGGAGAGCGGGAGGAGGUGGCAACCGAGAUUUCGACCGCCAUGGAAAUGGUGGCGCGUGAGUGGUGUUGGGGUGGAGUCCUGAGACUUGGACGUGGAGACGGCAGCUCAACGCACGAAGA